rnacentral:rRNA from 1 species
UAGGGAAUAUUAGUAAUGGAGGAAACUCUGAACUAGCGAUACCGCGUGUGCGAAGAAGGCCNUUCGGGUUGUAAAGCACUUUUUGAGAGGAUGAGGAAGGACGGUACUCUCAGAAUAAGUCUCGGCUAACUACGUGCCAGCAGCCGCGGUAACACGUAGGAGGCAAACGUUAUCCGGAUUUACUGGGCGUAAAGCGCGUGUAGGUGGUACUGUAAGUAGGGCGCGAAAGCUCCUGGCUCAACUGGGAGAGGCCGUUCUAAACUGCAGAACUCGAGUUUGAUAGAGGAAGAUGGAAUUCCAGGUGUAGCGGUAAAAUGCGCAGAUAUCUGGAGGAACACCAGUGGCGAAAGCGGUCUUCUAGAUCAAUACUGACACUCAGACGCGAAAGCUAGGGUAGCAA